GAUGAACGCUGGCGGCGUGCCUAAUACAUGCAAGUCGAGCGAACGGACGAGAAGCUUGCUUUUCUGAUGUUAGCGGCGGACGGGUGAGUAACACGUGGAUAACCUACCUAUAAGACUGGGAUAACUUCGGGAAACCGGAGCUAAUACCGGAUAAUAUUUUGAACCGCAUGGUUCAAAAGUGAAAGACGGUCUUGCUGUCACUUAUAGAUGGAUCCGCGCUGCAUUAGCUAGUUGGUAAGGUAACGGCUUACCAAGGCAACGAUGCAUAGCCGACCUGAGAGGGUGAUCGGCCACACUGGAACUGAGACACGGUCCAGACUCCUACGGGAGGCAGCAGUAGGGAAUCUUCCGCAAUGGGCGAAAGCCUGACGGAGCAACGCCGCGUGAGUGAUGAAGGUCUGCGGAUCGUAAAACUCUGUUAUUAGGGAAGAACAUAUGUGUAAGUACUGUGCACAUCUUGACGGUACCUAAUCAGAAAGCCACGGCUAACUACGUG
rnacentral:rRNA from 1 species